rnacentral:misc_RNA from 1 species
GAUGAAGAACGUAGCGAAAUGCGAUAAGUAGUGUGAAUUGCAGAAUUCAGUGAAUCAUCGAAUCUUUGAACGCACAUUGCGCCCCUUGGUAUUCCGGGGGGCAUGCCUGUUCGAGCGUCAUUUCAACCCUCAAGCUUCUGCUUGGUCUUGGGCCGUGCCGGCAACGGCUGGCCUUAAAACUAGUGGCGGUGCCAUCGAGCUCUACGCGUAGUAAUUCUAUCUCGCGUCUGGGCUUCGGUGGACGCUGGCCAGCAACCCCCAAUUUUCUAUGGUUGACCUCGGAUCAGGUAGGGAUACCCGCUGAACUUAAGCAUAUCAAUAAGCGGAGGA